rnacentral:rRNA from 1 species
GAUGAACGCUAGCGGCAGGCUUAAUACAUGCAAGUCGAGGGGUAGCAAGAUUGUAGCAAUACAAUUGUUGACGACCGGCAAACGGGUGCGGAGCACGUACACAACCUUCCUACAAGUGGGGAAUAGCCCAGAGAAAUUUGGAUUAAUACCCCGUAACAUAGCGAUGUGGCAUCACAUUGCUAUUAUAGCUUCGGCGCUUGUUGAUGGGUGCGCGGCUGAUUAGAUAGUUGGCGGGGUAACGGCCCACCAAGUCUACGAUCAGUAGCUGAUGUGAGAGCAUGAUCAGCCACACGGGCACUGAGACACGGGCCCGACUCCUACGGGAGGCAGCAGUAAGGAAUAUUGGACAAUGGACGCAAGUCUGAUCCAGCCAUGCCGCGUGAAGGAUUAAGGUCCUCUGGAUUGUAAACUUCUUUUAUAAGGGACGAAAAAAGGUCUUUCUAGAUCGUCUGACGGUACCUUAUGAAUAAGCACCGGCUAACUCCGUGCCAGCCGCCGCAGUAAGAC